UUAAACUUACAAUUCUACCCUUAACGAGAAGCUUUUAUAACCACACAAAAUACUCUGGGCCCCUUUUUUACUUGUUUAGGACCACAAAUUCCAAAAGUCUUCAUUUUUUCUUAAACUCCGUGUCCAGUCAAAUUGGUUCACAUAAAUUGGAACGGAGGGGGUAACAUUUAUGCGGCUAUAAAUCUUUUGAGACGUGUGAUGUUAAACAUGCGAGAGUAUUUGUGUGACUAUAAAAGGUUCUAAUUGAGAGUAGAAUUGAAAGUUUAUGCUAAAUUAUCUUCAAAUCUAGAAAGAGGUCAUUCUUUUUUUAACGGACCAAAAAGGAAAUAGGUUCACAUAAACUAAAACAGAGGAAGUAGUUUUCUUAAUUAAUUUUUUCCUUAUUUGCCAAAGAAUCUCUAAAGCGAGAUUUGAGAUAUUUUUAAUAUUAGAUCAUAUCCACACCUUGGCAACAAGGGGAUGCCUUGACCAGAGAUAUGAUAUCCCAAAAUGGCUAUGUUGCACGGACUCUCCUCUUAAGAAUAAUACUAAAUAAUUCUUUUUCUAUAUAAUGAACCAAACAAUCACUCAAAAGCUUAUUAUUUAUUUGAUUCUGCAAAUUGGUCUUAACCACUUCAUCCUGAAAAAUACAAUGGAAGCAGCAGAAAAAGAUAAAUUAUUCUACGUACAUCACACGUUUGGACUCAUGCCAAUUGGUUUUGUUUGUCCUUACCAUCCCAGAGGUCAAUGGUUCAAUCCCUGCUGACAUAUUGCUUUUAAGCACAGAUAAGCCAAAAAUAUCUCAAAAUAAACACGCAUGAAAAAUUGGCGGGGUUUGAACACAUGACCUCAAUUAGAAGAGAGGUGCUCGACCAGGCGAGCUAUGGAGCAGCUUGUGUCAAGCGGUUGCUGGAUAUCCCAUAUUUUGUUUCUGCAAAUUAAUUACAUAUGCAUAUUUAGUAAACUUUUCCUACUAAGCGGUGUGACCGCUUGAGCAUAUGUGUGUCCUCCCCUGCAAACAAGAAAACUGGUAGGACACGCCCUUAUGCACAUCCGAGUAUGCUAUUUGCACCCUCAACACCUCCUUCACAGAAAAGACAGCUUCAUCCCUCACACCCAACACCAAUAUGAAGAUAUGACAUAGUUAACAAAUCGUAAGGUUGGGCUUCAAUCAACUCAGUUCAUCUCCAUGAGCCGGUGUACAGUAUCCCCGCCCUCAUUAUUCGCCUCAAUAAACUUAUUCACCGAUCUAAACAUUACCAUGAGCAUCGUCUCUUAUUGACAAUUGUAUCCAUUUUGAAUUCUCAAAAAUACCCUUAAAAGUAUACUGGUGUACAUUAACAUGGGAGGAUAUUUUGUCUUUUUUGCAAAAAGUAAAUCCAACAUAUUUGGUACUGCCAUUUCCCCUCUCCCUACUCCCUAAUGAGUCGCUCUCUCCCCUCUAUCUCUCUUCUGCUUCUCUUCUUUCCCACCCCCUUUGAGAUUAUUAGAUUCUCAUAAGCAUUAUCAAAGUAUAUGGAUAUCAUGGUCUAAUCUCUAAAAACUAAAAUGUAUGUUUAACUUUGGUACACCCAUAAUAUGUUUGAUUAAACCCACUUUCAUUACUGCAUUUUGUUUGCAUGAUAGAGAUUUUAGGGCGACCUAGGGAAGAAGAAGACGUUUCAACAGCAAUGGAGCCUCUAAGAUCACUCAUGAUCCCCCUUUGAAAUCAUGCAUUCUCUGCAAUUGAACACCAUAAGAGUUUGAUCUUCUUCAUUAUUUGCCAUAUUUUCUUGUAUUAUGGAAGUGAGAGAGAAUUAAUUGAAGGCAUAGAAACUUAAAGGUUUCAUCCCUUAUUAGUAAUUAUAUUGCUAAUCUCUUCAAACCUGUUGAGAAGGGAAACAAAGAAUGGACAAGUAAAAAUUUAAAAAGAAGGCUUGUGAAAUGAAAGAGAAAAAGUUGGCGGCCGAAGAGGGGGAUGGUUAGGGGGAGUCGAAGAGAGAGAAGAUAAGGAAAGGGCUGGUUUGGUUCUAUUUUUUUGUUAAAAAGAAUAAAAAGUCCCCACAAUUAAUGGAAGAGUAAGGAUAUCUUGGAUAAUCCAAAAAUGGAUGCGGAGCUAAGUUGCUAACCUACUACAGAUAGUACAUUAGCAAGACCCAUAUAUAACACAUAUUAUACAUGUAAUAUAAAAAUAAGUCCAUGUUUAAUGACUUUGUUCUCUUGUUGUGUGUUUUUGAUUGUUGUACUUUUCUAAACAUUUGUGCCUUCGAUCAUAGAAUCGAGGGAAGGAUCCAAUUUGUAUACUUUUCUGAACAAUGUGCAUUGAUUUUUUGAUCCAGUCUAUCUUGAUAGUAAAAACUAUACAUCAUCUCAUUAUUCGCAUCAUAAUAUUUGAAAUUUUCCUUACACUAUGGCAAGACAACAUCACAAAACUAUAUCCAUAGCAAACAGCUACAAAAGAUCAAAUAAUAAGUCUUUACUAUGGAUUUAUUAGUCUUUAGACAAAUUAAAACUACAAUU
rnacentral:lncRNA from 1 species